AACGCGAAGAACCUUACCUACUCUUGACAUCCUGCGAAUCUGGCUUAGUAGCUGGAGUGCCGAAAGGAGCGCAGAGACAGGUGCUGCAUGGCUGUCGUCAGCUCGUGUUGUGAGAUGUUGGGUUAAGUCCCGUAACGAGCGCAACCCUUGUUCUUAGUUGCCAUCAUUUAGUUGGGGACUCUAAGAAGACUGCCGGUGUUGAACCGGAGGAAGGCGGGGACGACGUCAAGUCAUCAUGGCCUUUAUGAGUAGGGCUACACACGUGCUACAAUGGGACGUACAGAGGGUCGCCAACCCGCGAGGGGGAGCCAAUCCCAGAAAGCGUCUCGUAGUCCGGAUUGGAGUCUGCAACUCGACUCCAUGAAGUUGGAAUCGCUAGUAAUCGCGAAUCAGCAACGUCGCGGUGAAUACGUUCCCGGGCCUUGUACACACCGGAGUA
rnacentral:rRNA from 1 species